GCAGAAGCAGAAGUCCCAGCAGUCACUGUGCCAGCUCCUGAGCCAGUGGUACAAGAGCCAGUUGAAACGGACCAAAUAGUACAAGUAUCUGUGGAGGAAGAUUCGGUACAGACUGAAGAACACGCUCAAAUAAAGCAAGAGCCAGAUCCAACGUGGUAGACCUGACUUGCAUUAGGGUAAAGGACAG